CGCGAAUAGCUCAUUACAACAGCUAUAAUUUACUUGAUCUUGACAACCUACUUGGAUAACUGUGGUAAUUCUAGAGCUAAUACAUGCACCAAAGCUCCGACCGUAAGGGAAGAGCGCAUUUAUUAGAACAAAACCAAGCGGCUUCGGCCGUCCAAUGUUGACUCAGAAUAACUAAGCUGAUCGCAUGGUCUUGUACCGGCGACGUGUCUUUCAAGUAUCUGCCUUAUCAACUUUCGAUGGUAGUGUAUCUGACUACCAGGGUGAUGACGGGUAACGGAGGAUAAGGGUUCGACUCCGGAGAAGGGGCCUGAGAAAUGGCCACUACGUCUAAGGAUGGCAGCAGGCGCGCAAAUUACCCACUCUCAGAACGAGGAGGUAGUGACGAGAAAUAACGAGACCGUUCUCUUAAGAGGCCGGUCAUCGGAAUGGGUACAAUUUAAACCCUUUAACGAGUAUCUAUGAGAGGGCAAGUCUGGUGCCAGCAGCCGCGGUAAUUCCAGCU
rnacentral:rRNA from 1 species